ensembl:snoRNA
AAGACUAUACUUUCAGGGAUCAUUUCUAUAGUAUGUGACUAGAGAAGUUUCUCUGAACGUGUAGAGCACCGUAUAAACCACAAGAAGGAGUUGUAGCGUUGUCUCCUGAGCGUGAAACCGGCUUUUGGUGUUGCUCGGAUGCAACUGCCGUCAGCCAUUGAUGACCGUUCUUCUCUCCGGCUUGGCGAGUAAGAGGGAGAGAACGCAGUCUGAGUGGUU